GGGAGCUUAGAGCCCACCCCUCAGAGGGUCAGGCGGUGACCCAGAAGUAUAAAGGCUCACCCUCAGAACUGACUAGGUAGCCAGCCACCGGGCAGCCAGACAUCUCCCGCCUAGCCCACGACGGGGAAACCCCUGCUGCCCAAGGUACACGCCAGGACUGGCCUGACCUGCCCAGUGCUCGCUACCCGGAGGAGGUGCCAGACCUGCCCUGUGCCCACUACCUGGAGGAGUUGCCGGGCCUGCCGCUUGCCCACUACCCCAAGGAACCCACGGUAGUGGACCCGCCGGAGGACAACACCCUGACCCAGGGAGAACCCAGAAUUGUCAUUCUUGGGCCAGAGGGACAAAGUCGUGUCAAAGAGAGGUUCCUACCCCAGUGAAUAAUCAAUGCAAUGGCAUGGAUCACAGCUAUAGAAGAGUCAGCUCCCUCCUGCAGCUCCAGCUAAAGUGGAUAGUGAACUGCCUGGGCCCACUGAGAUCUCCAGACCACCAGCUCAUGUAUUUGAAAGACAUCUGUUUAUUUUUAAAUUGCAAAUGUAGCCUACCUCAAAGACUGACUUCAAGAAAUGAACAAUCUGAACAAGUCAAGAGGUUUCCAAUCAGAAGCUGUGUUCCUCCUUUCUAUCAGGCUGUGAUCACUUGCUGUCAAAACCACUUAAACAAUAUUCCAGAAUUUGAAUGAAGUCCCCCCACAAUUAAAAUGAGCAGGAUAAUCCUGCAAGAAUUAUUCAGCCAAAUCAUUUUUCACACCGUUUAAAGUAAUGAUAAGGUCAUUUACAAAAGAAAUCACUGCCUUUGAAAUGUUGACUUGUAGACAGAGGACUGCCUGGAGGAGGGCCAUAGAUAACAGUGAAGACUGGCCUCCUAACACCACCCUUGCAGUCUUUGGAACUGAUUCCGAUGAAGAGAAGGCCCAAUAAGGUUAAUACCCCUACUUUGAUCUCUGUCAAAGCGUACCAGCAAGAAUUAAUUUACAUUUCAGAUGAAAAAGGUUGACAGCAUGAAAA